rnacentral:tRNA from 3 species
GUUUGAAUAGUUUAAUAAGAAUAAUAAUUUGUGGUGUUAUAGGUAUAAUAUUUAUUUCAGACC